rnacentral:tRNA from 1 species
GGAAGCGUGCCCGAAAGA